rnacentral:rRNA from 1 species
GAUGAACGCUGGCGGCGUGCCUAAUACAUGCAAGUCGAGCGAACGGACGAGAAGCUUGCUUUUCUGAUGUUAGCGGCGGACGGGUGAGUAACACGUGGAUAACCUACCUAUAAGACUGGGAUAACUUCGGGAAACCGGAGCUAAUACCGGAUAAUAUUUUGAACCGCAUGGUUCAAAAGUGAAAGACGGUCUUGCUGUCACUUAUAGAUGGAUCCGCGCUGCAUUAGCUAGUUGGUAAGGUAACGGCUUACCAAGGCAACGAUGCAUAGCCGACCUGAGAGGGUGAUCGGCCACACUGGAACUGAGACACGGUCCAGACUCCUACGGGAGACAGCAGUAGGGAAUCUUCCGCAAUGGGCGAAAGCCUGACGGAGCAACGCCGCGUGAGUGAUGAAGGUCUUCGGAUCGUAAAACUCUGUUAUUAGGGAAGAACAUAUGUGUAAGUAACUGUGCACAUCUUGACGGUACCUAAUCAGAAAGCCACGGCUAACUACGUG